rnacentral:rRNA from 1 species
GACAGAGGUGCCAAGCGUUAGGCGGAAUCACUGGGCUUAAAGCGUGUGUAGGCGGAUCGUUAAGUACCUUGUGAAAUCCCACGGCUCAACCGUGGAACUGCUGGGUAUACUGGCGAUCUUGAGCCACCUAGGGGCGAGCGGAACAAGCGGUGGAGCGGUGAAAUGCGUAGAUAUCGCUUGGAACGCCAAUGGUGAAAACAGCUCGCUGGGGGUGUGCUGACGCUGAGACACGAAAGCCAGGGGAGCGAACAGG